rnacentral:rRNA from 1 species
UCGAGCUGGCUGCUGCGCCAGCCGGAGGCGCGCCCCUCUCUCUGACCCACCAGUGGGCAUUGGUGGGUGCACCCCGGUCAGCAGGGAAGCCCCGAGUGGCGGCAGUCAGGAGCCAGGGGAAACCUGGCUGGCCUCCCCAGUCAGACAAGGGCCCGGCACACCAGGGAAGCCCUAAGCCAUGGCACAGCAGGCUUACGCGACGGGCGGGUGUCGAGGUUCUAGCCGACACAUCUGUGGGAGUGCAAUGACCAGUCCUGCUGGUGCAGCUGGUGACCUUCCCUCUUGCCCAGGUACCUGGGGUUCGGCCUCGUGCGGCCUGGCCGGGGUUUGAAGACUCUAGCGGUCCCACCUGAAACCCCCAGCCCGUGCUGUCUCUGGCCCGCUUCGCCCUACCCCCUCUCCCCACCGGCCCCCACCCAAAAAGGGAGUGGAGGGGGUUGGGAAAGGAUGAGUGGAUCGGGCCGGGUGGGCCGGUGGCAGUGUGGCCUGCCUCCAUCAACGUGGAAAGUGCUGUGCUGCUGUAGUCGGCGGUCAGGCUUCCUGGGCUGAAAGCCUGGAUUUAUUUUAGUUUUAAAACCAGAAUGGUCUUGGCCAACUCCCAUGUGGGGAAGCUAGACGGGGCGCUGGGCUGUCUUGCUGCGGGCAGGUUCGGGCCGAAGACUGGAACAAAAACAAAGUCGCUUGUGAUGCUUGCUGAUGGAUCACUCGGCCCGUGGGUCGAUUAAGAACGCAACUAGCUGCGAGAACUAGUGUGAAUUGCAGGACACAUUGAUCAUCAACACUUCGAACGCACCUUUCGGCCCUGAACUAGCCAUACCCGGCCAUCGCGGAGCCAGGGGGCUAAGCGGUGACGAGUUGGAGGGCCGGUUCAGUACACACAGAUGCCUGGUGAGGCCCGAGUGGAACUGCCGCAGGUGCAGAUCUUGGUGGAGUAGCAAAUAUUCAAACGAGAACUUUGAAGGCCGCAGUGGAGAAGGGCUCCAUGUGAACAGCAUUUGAACAUGGGUCAGUCGUUCCAAAGAGAUGUGCGAGCGCCAUUCGAAUGGGACGGGCAUGGCCUCCAUUGCCCUCAGCCGAUCAAAAGGGAGUCAGGUCAGAUCCCCAAACACGGAGUGGCGGAGACGGGCACCCUCGCGGCAUCUAGAGCGGUAACGCAAACGAUCCCAUGCGGGAUCCCCGGGGAGAGUUCUGCUUUUUUUGUGAAGGGCAGGGCACCCUGGAAUUGGUUCGCCCUGAGAGAGGGGCCUGAGCCUUGGAAAGCGUUGCAGUUCCGGUGAGCUCUCGCUGGUCCUUGAAUAUCCAGAGGAGAUGGUGUUAAUCUUGCGCCGGGCCAUACCCAUAUCCGCAGCAGGUCUCUAAGGUGAACAGCCUCUGGCAUGUUGGAACAAUGUAGGUAAGGGAAGUCAGCAAGUUGGAUCCGUAACUUCAGGAUAAGGAUUGGCUCCAAGGGCUGGGUCGGUCGGGCUGGGGUGUGAAGUGGGGCUGGACGUGCACUGAGGCUGGACGAGGCGUCUCACCCCCGAGGGCAGCGCCGACUGGAUGCCUGCCGGGCCCUUCCUGUGGAUCGCCCCAGCUGCGGUGGUCGCCUCUCUCCGUUCCCCUCCCAGGGUUCGGUGCCUGCCUUCUGCCUCGGCCGACACCUAGCAGCUGACUUAGAACUGGUGCAGACCAGGGGAAUCCGACUGUUAAAUUAAAGCAAAGCAUUGCGUAAUGCCCCCAAUGGGUGCUGGCGCAAUGUGAUUUCUGCCCAGUGCUCUGAAUGUUAAAGUGAAGAAAUUCAUUGAACCGGGGGAGUAACUAUGACUCUCUUAAAUUAGCCAAAUGCCUCAUCUAAUUAAUGACGUGAAUGAAUGGAUGAACGAGAUUCCCAGUGUCUCUACUUACUAUCUAGUGAAACCACAGCCAAGGGAACAGGCUUGGCAGAAUCAGCGGGGGACGAAGACCCAGUUGAUAUUCAUUUUAGUCUUGCACUGUGAAGAGGCAUGAGAGGUGUACGAUAAGUGGGAGGCUCUCGGGCUGCCGCUGAAUUACACUGCUCUUAUUGUUUUUUCACUUACCCGGUGAGGCAGGGCGGUGAGCCCCUUAGGGCUCUUGCUGGGCGUCACCUGCUCUGGGGACAGUGGCAGGUGGGGAGUUUGACUGGGGCGGUACACCUGGCAAACGAUAACGCAGGUGUCCUAAGGCGAGCUAAGGGAGGACAAAAACCUACCGUGGAACAGAAGGGCAAACGCUUGCUUGGGCUCAAUUUUCAGUAUGAAAACAGACAGUGAAAGCAGAGCCUCAGGAUCCUUCUGACUUUUUUUGGGGUUUCAAACAGUAGGUCUCAGAAAGGUUACCACAGAGAUAACUGGCUUGUGGGGGCCAAGCGUUCAUAGCAACGUCGCUGUUUGAUCUUUCGAUGUUGGAUCUUCCUAUCAUUGUGAAUCAGAAUUCACCAAGUGUUGGAUUGUUCACCCCCUAAUAGGGAACAUGAGCUGGGUUUAGAUCGUCGUGAGACAGAUUAGUUUUACCCUACUGAUGAUGUGUUGUUGCAAUAGUAAUGCUGCUCAGUACAAGAGGAACUGCAGGUUCAGCCAAUUGGUGUAUGUGCUUGGCUGAGGAGCCAAUGGGGCGAAGCUACCAUCUGUGGGAGGGAUUAUGACUGAACGCCUCUAAGUCAGAAUCCCCCCUAAACCGAAACGACACUGCAGCACUGUGGAGCCUUGUUUGGCCUAGGAUAGCCGGCCUCUGGGCCGGUGCAUAGAGCUGUUCGCCUUGGGACUCUGGGUGUGGACAGAAUGGGGCCACCUCGCUCGCCCGUAGUGCACCGCAUGUUUGUGGGGAACUUGGUGCUAAAUCAUUUGUAGACUACCUGAUUCUGGGUCAGGGUUUCGUAAGUAGCAAAGCAGCUACCUCGCUGCGAUCUAUUGAAAGUCACCCUCUGAGCCAAGCUUUUGUCAAAAGG